GGAGAACGGCAACGAGCCCGAUUCGCUCUGCGGAUAUGCCGGUUAUGAGCUAAUCGUUUGCUGUCCAACUUCGGGUCCACGAGUAACCCGAAACCCGAUCGACGAUGAACCAGGUGCAAUAGCAAGAUAGAAAUGGGCUGAAUAGGCUGGGUACGUUUACGUCCACAGCUCGCCAGUGAUUACCUCAGGCACAGAACGGAAAGUUAACGUUUCCCAGUACGCGUUCAGGUCCCAGAAGUUCGUUCUGGGAGGAACAAGGGCCGAGCGUAUGGAGUUUCCCCACAUGGCAGCGGUUGGCUACGAUUUGCCAACCGGUGAAGUCGGCUGGUACCACAGCGGCGCUCUGAUAUCCGAGAACUUCGUCCUGACGGCAGCCCACUGCAUCGUUUCAUCGUAUUGGUAAGCCUUGCCACAGCAUUGUUGUUCUGGGAUUUCAUUGCAGGACUGCGAGUAAAACCAUGCAAGAAAAGUUGCUGGUCAAUCAAACCGUAAACGUAGUCGACGCGCUGUAACAAAGUUAUCGCGAAUCGCUGUUGAAUCACUUGGAAUUCCAUCAUCGACACUGGGGCCCUGCGAAAUGGGUCCGCGUCAGCGAUUUGAACCUCCAGCGUUCCGACGACGGAGCGAAACCGGAGGAUCGUCGCAUCGCCGAGCGGAUCAGACACUCUCGAUACAAGCCUUCUUCUU